UUAAAUUGAAGAGUUUGAUCAUGGCUCAGAUUGAACGCUGGCGGCAGGCCUAACACAUGCAAGUCGAACGGUAACAGGAAGCAGCUUGCUGCUUUGCUGACGAGUGGCGGAGGG
rnacentral:rRNA from 1 species